AUAUUCAAAAGCGUUGGGUGUUAGCUUGUAACCGGCCAGGUCACAUUAAUAUGAAAACUACCAGAGUAUGUUCGAAACAUUUUGACGAGUCGUCUUAUGAACGGAAUUUGCGGUUUGAACUACUGUGCUAUACCGCCCGAAAUCGUCGACUGUUGAAACCAGACGCCGUACCAUUUCUCAAUUUGCCACUGGGAAACUCAAAGGUUGUGAAAGGGGAAUCGGCCCGAACCAGUCGCAUUAACAAAAGAAAUAGGUCAAAAUUAGUUGCGACUCUUCUACAAACCAGGUAAGUUUCUUGUUUUGGUGUAUUUGAAAUUGGUUUAGAGACGUUUUCAGAGGGAAAUCUACCGUAAAGUAUUAUUAGCUAUAUUUCAUGGUUUUGUUUAGUUAUAGGAGUGUUGGCGAUGGUCGUUUUGGUAAUAAGAUUGAAGUAAAUCAGGUGUUGGAUGACAUAUUAUUAAUAUUUCGAAUGCUGUAGCGCAAACAGAAGAUGUUAGCACUAGAAGAGAUGCAAGUACGAACACUGAUGCUGACAACAGAGACGAGAUAAUUGCCAAAUUCAAA